rnacentral:rRNA from 1 species
AUUGAACGCUGGCGGCAGGCCUAACACAUGCAAGUCGAACGAGUGGCGGACGGGUGAGUAAUGUCUGGGAACCUGCCUGGUGGAGGGGGAUAACUACUGGAAACGGUAGCUAAUACCGCAUACCAUCGGAUGUGCCCAGAUGGGAUUAGCUAGUAGGUGGGGUAACGGCUCACCUAGGCGACGAUCCCUAGCUGGUCUGAGAGGAUGCACAGCCAACCUGGAACUGAGACACGGUCCAGACCCCUACGGGAGGCAGCAGUGGGAAUAUUGCACAAUGGGCGCAAGCCUGAUGCAGCCAUGCCGCGUGUAUGAAGAAGGCCUUCGGGUUGUAAAGUACUUUCAGCGGGGAGGCGGUACCCGCAGAAGAAGCACCGGCUAACUCCGUGCCAGCAGCCGCGGUAAUAC